AAGAGGGGGACCUUCGGGCCUCUUGCCAUCAGAUGUGCCCAGAUGGGAUUAGCUAGUAGGUGGGGUAACGGCUCACCUAGGCGACGAUCCCUAGCUGGUCUGAGAGGAUGACCAGCCACACUGGAACUGAGACACGGUCCAGACUCCUACGGGAGGCAGCAGUGGGGAAUAUUGCACAAUGGGCGCAAGCCUGAUGCAGCCAUGCCGCGUGUAUGAAGAAGGCCUUCGGGUUGUAAAGUACUUUCAGCGGGGAGGAAGGCGAUAAGGUUAAUAACCUUGUCGAUUGACGUUACCCGCAGAAGAAGCACCGGCUAACUCCGUGCCAGCAGCCGCGGUAAUACGGAGGGUGCAAGCGUUAAUCGGAAUUACUGGGCGUAAAGCGCACGCAGGCGGUCUGUCAAGUCGGAUGUGAAAUCCCCGGGCUCAACCUGGGAACUGCAUU
rnacentral:rRNA from 1 species